rnacentral:rRNA from 1 species
GACAGAGGGUGCAAACGUUGCUCGGACUUACUGGGCGUAAAGCGAGUGUAGGCGGUGUGGUAAGUCGGAUGUGAAAGCCCCGGGCUCAACCCGGGAAGUGCACUCGAUACUGCCACGCUAGAGUAUCGGAGAGGUUGGUGGAAUUCUCGGUGUAGAGGUGAAAUUCGUAGAUAUCGAGAGGAACACCGGUGGCGAAGGCGGCCAACUGGACGAAUACUGACGCUGAGACGCGAAAGCGUGGGGAGCGAACAGG